ACUAAUCAAAAACAAUAAGGGCGGGUUCGCCUGCCCUCUCGACUGCCGGGAAACACGGACAGACUAUACGCUGAAUGGUCGUUCCCCAUUCAGCACGAAAAUGACACAGCGUUCUUCACAUUGAGCUGCAACAAAGCAGGGUGAAAGACGACGUGUU
rfam:Yokenella regensburgei ATCC 43003 genomic scaffold Scfld157, whole genome shotgun sequence.